rnacentral:rRNA from 1 species
UGACGAGCUGCUGAUGGGAGUACAAUGUCGGGCAAACUGCCUGCUGGGGGGGGAUAACUACUGGAAACGGUAGCUAAUACCGCAUAACGUCGCAAGACCAAAGAGGGGGACCUUCGGGCCUCUUGCCAUCAUAUGUGCCCAGAUGGGAUUAUUUAGUAGGUGGGGUAAUGGCUCACCUAGGCGACGAUCCCUAGCUGGUCUGAGAGGAUGACCACCCACACUGGAACUGACACACGGCCCAGACUCCUACGGGAGGCAGCAGGGGGGAAUAUUGCACAAUGGGCGCAAGCCUGAUGCACACAUGCCGCGUGUGUGAAAAAGGCCUUCGGGUUGUAAAGCACUUUCAGCGAGGAGGAAGGUGGUGAACUUAAUACGUUCAUCAAUUGACGUUACUCGCAAAAAAAGCACCGGCUAACUCCGUGCCAGCAGCCGCGGUAAUACGGAGGGUGCAAGCGUUAAUCGGAAUUACUGGGCGUAAAGCGCACGCAGGCGGUUUGUUAAGUCAGAUGUGAAAUCCCCGGGCUCAACCUGGGAACUGCAUUUGAAACUGGCAAGCUAGAGUCUCGUAGAGGGGGGUAGAAUUCCAGGUGUAGCGGUGAAAUGCGUAGAGAUCUGGAGGAAUACCGGUGGCGAAGGCGGCCCCCUGGACAAAGACUGACGCUCAGGUGCGAAAGCGUGGGGAGCAAACAGGAUUAUAUACCCUGGUAGUCCACGCUGUAAACGAUGUCGAUUUGGAGGUUGUGCCCUUGAGGCGUGGCUUCCGGAGCUAACGCGUUAAAUCGACCGCCUGGGGAGUACGGCCGCAAGGUUAAAACUCAAAUGAAUUGACGGGGGCCCGCACAAGCGGUGGAGCAUGUGGUUUAAUUCGAUGCACGCAAAAACCUUACCUACUCUUGACAUCCAGAAACUUA